GACGGAGGGGGCAAGCGUUGUCCGGAAUUACUGGGCGUAAAGCGCGCGUAGGCGGUCGUGUACGGCGAUGGUGAAAGCCCCCGGCUCAACUGGGGGAGGCCCGUCGCAACGGCACGACUCGAGGGCGGUAGAGGCUAACGGAAUUCCUGGUGUAGCGGUGAAAUGCGUAGAGAUCAGGAGGAACACCCGUGGCGAAGGCGGUUAGCUGGGCCGUGCCUGACGCUGAGGUGCGAAGGCCAGGGGAG
rnacentral:rRNA from 1 species